rnacentral:rRNA from 1 species
GACGAACGCUGGCGGCGUGCUUAACACAUGCAAGUCGAACGGAAAGGCCCUGCUUGCAGGGUACUCGAGUGGCGAACGGGUGAGUAACACGUGGGUGAUCUGCCCUGCACUUCGGGAUAAGCUUGGGAAACCGGGUCUAAUACCGGAUAGGAGCCAUCUUUAGUGUGGUGGUUGGAAAGUUUUUUCGGUGUAGGAUGAGCUCGCGGCCUAUCAGCUUGUUGGUGGGGUAAUGGCCUACCAAGGCGGCGACGGGUAGCCGGCCUGAGAGGGUGUACGGCCACAUUGGGACUGAGAUACGGCCCAGACUCCUACGGGAGGCAGCAGUGGGGAAUAUUGCACAAUGGGCGCAAGCCUGAUGCAGCGACGCCGCGUGGGGGAUGAAGGCCUUCGGGUUGUAAACUCCUUUCGCUAGGGACGAAGCUUUUUGUGACGGUACCUAGAUAAGAAGCACCGGCUAACUACGUG